CAGAGGGCGCGAGCGUUGUCCGGAAUCGACUGGGCGUAAAGGGCGCGUAGGUGGCCACUAUAAGGCCGCGGUGAAAGUUCGGGGCUCAACCCUGAAUCGGCCGCGGCGACUGUAGGGCUUGGGCACUGUAGAGGCAGAUGGAAUUCCGGGUGUAGCGGUGGAAUGCGUAGAGAUCCGGAAGAACACCGGUGGCGAAGGCGGUCUGCUGGGCAGUGGACCCGUGAGGGUCCAAUAGCCGACACUGAGGCGCGACAGCGUGGGGAGCAAACAGGAUUAGAUACCCUGGUAGUCCACGCCGUAAACGAUGGGCACUAGGUGCUCCGGGGAGCGACCCUUGGAGUACCGGCGCUAACGCAUGAAGUGCCCCGCCUGGGGAGUACGGCCGCAAGGCUG
rnacentral:rRNA from 1 species